rnacentral:rRNA from 1 species
AUGUAGUGUAAUAUCUACAAUUUUAAUACACCAAAUCCCAUUAGAACUCCAUAGUUAAGUGUUCUUGGGAUAGAGUAGUACUAGGAUGGGUGACCUGGUGUUUUACAUGCCUAUGGAAUUUUGUA